rnacentral:rRNA from 1 species
CCCUACUAUGCCUAGCCUUAAAACAACAGUUAAAUAACCAACUGUUCGCCUAAUAACUACGAGUGAAAACUUAAAAUUUAAAAGACUUGACGGUAUUUCACAACAACCUAGAGGAGCCUGUCCAAUAACCGAUACCCCACGAUUAACCCUACCUGCCCUAGCCUUAACAGUCUAUAUACCGCCGUCGCCAGCUUACCUUAUGAAAGAAACAAAGUGAGCCCAAUAAUAACACAUUAAUACGACAGGUCGAGGUGUAACUAAUGAGUAGGCCAAAGAUGGGCUACAUUUUCUUAAACAGAAAAGCACGAAUCAACUAUGAAAUUAGAAACUGAAGGCGGAUUUAGCAGUAAGCUAACAACAAAAUACUUAGCUAAAAUAAUAGCAAUGAAAUGCGUACACACCGCCCGUCAUCCCUGUAAAACACCUAAACACAUACAUAAUUCCUCCUACACUUAAAACA